rnacentral:ncRNA from 1 species
AUACAAGCGUUGAUAAGGAUUAGUAGAUUUUCUUUUUAAAUUUAGAGAACAGUCGGUUGGUGCAAGACUUUUUAAAAAAAUUUCGAAUCCUACCUUUGAGCGUGUAUUAAUACUACAGGGUAAGACGCCUUAUAGUCUUUUAAAGAUAACUUAAAUAAUCAUAAGUUAUAAAUUAGAGUGGUACCACGGCUUUUCGUCUCUUUA